CCCCAGUAACGGCGAAGUGAAGCGGCAACAGCUCAAAUUUGAAAUCUGGCCCCUAGGGUCCGAGUUUGUAAUUUGUAGAGGAUGCUUUUGGUGAGGUGCCGCCCGAGUUCCCUGGAACGGGACGCCGCAGAGGGUGAGAGCCCCGUCUGGCUGGCCACCGAGCCUAUGUAAAGCUCCUUCGACGAGUCGAGUAGUUUGGGAAUGCUGCUCAAAAUGGGAGGUAUAUGUCUUCUAAAGCUAAAUAUUGGCCAGAGACCGAUAGCGCACAAGUAGAGUGAUCGAAAGAUGAAAAGCACCUUGAAAAGAGGGUUAAACAGUACGUGAAAUUGUUGAAAGGGAAGCGCUUGUGACCAGACUUGGGCGCGGCGGAUCAUCCGGGGUUCUCCCCGGUGCACUUCGCCGCGUUCAGGCCAGCAUCAGUUCGGCGCGGGGGAAAAAGGCUUCGGGAACGUGGCUCCUCCGGGAGUGUUAUAGCCCGUUGCAUAAUACCCUGCGCUGGACUGAGGACCGCGCAUCUGCAAGGAUGCUGGCGUAAUGGUCACCAGCGACCCGUCUUGAAACACGGACCAAGGAGUCGUCUUCGUAUGCGAGUGUUCGGGUGUCAAACCCCUACGCGUAAUGAAAGUGAACGCAGGUGAGAGCUUCGGCGCAUCAUCGACCGAUCCUGAUGUUCUCGGAUGGAUUUGAGUAAGAGCAUACGGGGCCGGACCCGAAAGAAGGUGAACUAUGCCUGUAUAGGGUGAAGCCAGAGAAACUCUGGUGGAGGCUCGCAGCGGUUCUGACGUGCAAAUCGAUCGUCAAAUAUGG
rnacentral:rRNA from 1 species